rnacentral:rRNA from 11 species
GCAAGUGACCUAAAUAUCCUGAAAGCACCAGAUCCUAUCUGUUCUUGGCAGCUAAGAAGGGUCACACUAGCUUAGUACUUGAAUGGAAAACUGCCAACUUAUACCAGAUAUUGUAGACU